GGCUUUUUGAUGAUAAUUUAAGGUUUGACCUGCCCAAUGAUUUAAAUAUUAAAUGGCCGCGGUACUUUGACCGUGCAAAGGUAGCAUAAUCAUUAGUUUUUUAAUUGAAAGCUUGUAUGAAAGGUUUGAUGAAAAAAAAACUGUCUUUAUUUAAAUUUUAUAGAAAUUUAUUUUUAAGUUAAAAAGCUUAAAUAUAUAUUAAAGACGAGAAGACCCUAUAGAGUUUUAUAUUUUUUAUAAAAUUAUUAUGUUUUAGGAUUUUUUAAUGAUUUUUUAAAUUUUAUUUAGUUGGGGUGAUUUAAAAAUUAAAUAAACUUUUUUAUUUAUAUUUACAUUGAUAUAUGAAAUUUUGAUCCUUAUUAAAGAUUAAUAGAUAAAAUUACCUUAGGGAUAACAGCGUAAUUUUUUUUAGAGUUCUUAUCAAAAAAAAAGAUUGCGACCUCGAUGUUGGAUUAAAAUUAAUUAUUGGUGUAGAAGCUAAUAAAUUAGGUCUGUUCGACCUUUAAAAUUUUACAUGAUCUGAGUUUAAACCGGUGUAAG
rnacentral:rRNA from 1 species